rnacentral:rRNA from 1 species
UACGGAGGGUGCGAGCGUUGUCCGGAAUCAUUGGGCGUAAAGGCGCGUAGGUGGCCCGGUCAGUCCGUGGUGAAAGCGCGGGCUCAACCCCGCGUCGGCCCAUGGAUACUGCUGGGCUUGAGCACUGUAGAGGCAGGCGGAAUUCCGGGUGAGCGGUGGAAUGCGUAGAGAUCCGGAAGAACACCGGUGGCGAAGGCGGCCUGCUGGGCCAGUGGCUGACACUGAGGCGCGACAGCGUGGGGAGCAAACAGG